CCUACGGGAGGCUGCAGUGGGGAAUAUUGCACAAUGGGCGCAAGCCUGAUGCAGCCAUGCCGCGUGUGUGAAGAAGGCCUUCGGGUUGUAAAGCACUUUCAGCGGGGAGGAAGGCGUUAAGGUUAAUAACCUUGUCGAUUGACGUUACCCGCAGAAGAAGCACUGGCUAACUCCGUGCCAGCAGCCGCGGUAAUACGGAGGGUGCAAGCGUUAAUCGGAAUUACUGGGCGUAAAGCGCACGCAGGCGGUCUGUCAAGUCGGAUGUGAAAUCCCCGGGCUCAACCUGGGAACUGCAUUCGAAACUGGCAGGCUAGAGUCUUGUAGUGGGGGGUAGAAUUCCAGGUGUAGCGGUGAAAUGCGUAGAGAUCUGGAGGAAUACCGGUGGCGAAGGCGGCCCCCUGGACAAAGACUGACGCUCAGGUGCGAAAGCGUGGGGAGCAAACAGGAUUAGAUACCCUUGUAGUC
rnacentral:rRNA from 1 species